rnacentral:rRNA from 1 species
UACAGAGGGUGCAAGCGUUGUUCGGAAUUAUUGGGCGUAAAGGGCGCGUAGGCGGUUCGGCAAGUCUCUAGUGAAAUCUCUGGGCUCAACUCAGAGUCUGCUGGGGAAACUGCCGGGCUUGAGUGUGGGAGAGGAGAGUGGAAUUCCCGGUGUAGCGGUGAAAUUCGUAGAUAUUCGGAAGAACACCAGUGGCGAAGGCGGCUCACUGGCCCCGGUACUGACGCUGAGGUGCG